AGCGAACGCUAGCGGCGGGCCUAACACAUGCAAGUCGAGCGCAUACCUUCGGGUAUGAGCGGCGGACGGGUGAGUAACACGUAGGUAAUCUACCCUUUGGUGGGGAAUAACCCGGGGAAACUCGGGCUAAUGCCGCACGAGGUCUACGGAUCAAAGCCUUCGGGCGCCAGAGGAUGAGCCUGCGUUGCAUUACCUAGUUGGCGGGGUAACGGCCCACCAAGGGGACGAUGCAUAGCUGGUCUGAGAGGAUGAUCAGCCACACUGGGACUGAGACACGGCCCAGACUCCUACGGGAGGCAGCAGUGGGGAAUAUUGCGCAAUGGGGGAAACCCUGACGCAGCUACGCCGCGUGGGUGAUGAAGGCCUUCGGGUUGUAAAGCCCUGUCGGGAGGGACGAAUACUGACGGUACCUCCCAACGAAAGCACCGGCUAACUCCGUGCCAGCAGCCGCGGUAAU
rnacentral:rRNA from 1 species